AUGGAAACGGACGCUGCAGCCACUCUGCUAGCUGGGAUCCUCUCAAAGAGAGGGGUGGAUGCCCCAGUGAAGCAGUUACACAGAUUGAUUAAGUUAGGGCAGCAAUGGGGACAUUUUUCAGACACACACUUGUUAUUCUCCGUAUCGGAGUGGAGAGACUUUGGGGAAACGAUGCGGUCUAAGACCAUUGAGGGUGGAGCGAAGGAUGAGAAGGAGAUCAAGGCGGUACGAACCCUCUGGAGUACGGUCCUGGAGACUCUGGUGGCGAUGAAGGCGGAGAGGGAGGUGGCUGCAGCGGCUACAAAAAUGUUGAGCCCUGCGCCAAGUAGCACCCCUCAGGGACCCGGCGGCGGGUCUCAGCUYGCUAUCAGAGGGACUGGCUCCGUGGGUAAGCCGUACCGCACAGUGGCUGAGAUGCUGCAGUCCUUGCGGAAAGGUUUGGCCGCCCCACAAGGAAAAGGGGAAGUUGCCACCGAGCCGGCCGGCUCAGGCACUGCUGAAAGCGCAGAAGUGCCGCAAGGUGCCUCCCAUGACUCAGAGGGGGGCGGGUCAAUCACUAGUGUGCCGCCCUUGCCAUCAGCCUGUGAGUUGCAGCGACCCUCAGUCCCUCCUCCACCACCUCCUGCACGGCCUCCGAUGACGUUGAGAGGAGCGUGGCGGGAGCCCUCGACCCCGCCCUCUCCCACAUCGUYRGGCACAGCUACGCCCACUACCCCCAAAGGAGGCGGGCCGUCUACGGCUCAGCUGGUAAAAAGGAUUGAGGAACUAUCAGAGAAGCUGGAAAAGCUGGAACUCAAUAAGGCAGGGAAAGGGUCCCUCCCUCCCUGCAUGCAGCAAGCUGCGCUUGAACCCCCGGCCGGGAGGGAGUCGCGUUGGAGCGGCAUCAUUAGGGAUGCCAUUGUGGAAGGACAAUGGCGCCCCGGUGCCUUAGGGGGCGGAGCAUCGGCUCUGGCCUUUCCUAUUGUCUAUGGCGGGGGUGAGAAGAAGUGGGAGCCACAUGAUUGGAAACUCCUGCAGCAGGCCCGAAAUACGGUGUCAACCUAUGGGGUCAAG
rnacentral:lncRNA from 1 species